rnacentral:rRNA from 1 species
AUUGAACGCUGGCGGCAGGCCUAACACAUGCACGUCGAGCGAGCGGCGGACGGGUGAGUAAUGUCUGGGAAACUGCCUGAUGGAGGGGGAUAACUACUGGAAACGGUAGCUAAUACCGCAUACCAUCAGAUGUGCCCAGAUGGGAUUAGCUAGUAGGUGGGGUAAUGGCUGACCUAGGCGACGAUCCCUAGCUGGUCUGAGAGGAUGACCAGCAAAAAUGGAAAUGAGACACGGUCCAGACUCCGACGGGAGGCAGCAGUGGGGAAGAUUGCACAAGGGGAGAAAGCCUGAUGCAGCCAUGCCGCGUGUGUGAAGAAGGCCUUCGGGUUGUAAAGCACUUUCAGCGGGGAGGCGUUACCCGCAGAAGAAGCACCGGCGAACUCCGUGCCAGCAGCCGCGGUAAGUC